rnacentral:rRNA from 1 species
GGUUAAGUUAGAAAGGGCGCACGGUGGAUGCCUUGGCACUAGGAGCCGAUGAAGGACGGGACGAACACCGAUAUGCUUCGGGGAGCUGUAAGCAAGCUUUGAUCCGGAGAUUUCCGAAUGGGGAAACCCACCACUCGUAAUGGAGUGGUAUCCAUAUCUGAAUACAUAGGAUAUGAGAAGGCAGACCCGGGGAACUGAAACAUCUAAGUACCCGGAGGAAGAGAAAGCAAAUGCGAUUCCCUGAGUAGCGGCGAGCGAAACGGGACCAGCCCAAACCAAGAGGCUUGCCUCUUGGGGUUGUAGGACACUCUGUACGGAGUUACAAAGGAACGAGGUAGAUGAAGAGGUCUGGAAAGGCCCGCCAUAGGAGGUAACAGCCCUGUAGUCAAAACUUCGUUCUCUCCUGAGUGGAUCCUGAGUACGGCGGAACACGUGAAAUUCCGUCGGAAUCCGGGAGGACCAUCUCCCAAGGCUAAAUACUCCCUAGUGACCGAUAGUGAACCAGUACCGUGAGGGAAAGGUGAAAAGCACCCCGGAAGGGGAGUGAAAGAGAUCCUGAAACCGUGUGCCUACAAGUAGUCAGAGCCCGUUAACGGGUGAUGGCGUGCCUUUUGUAGAAUGAACCGGCGAGUUACGAUCCCGUGCAAGGUUAAGCAGAAGAUGCGGAGCCGCAGCGAAAGCGAGUCUGAAUAGGGCGAAUUGAGUACGUGGUCGUAGACCCGAAACCAGGUGAUCUACCCAUGUCCAGGGUGAAGUUCAGGUAACACUGAAUGGAGGCCCGAACCCACGCACGUUGAAAAGUGCGGGGAUGAGGUGUGGGUAGGGGUGAAAUGCCAAUCGAACCUGGAGAUAGCUGGUUCUCUCCGAAAUAGCUUUAGGGCUAGCCUCAAGGUAAGAGUCUCGGAGGUAGAGCACUGAUUGGACUAGGGGCCCCUACCGGGUUACCGAAUUCAGUCAAACUCCGAAUGCCGAUGACUUAUCCUUGGGAGUCAGACUGCGAGUGAUAAGAUCCGUAGUCGAAAGGGAAACAGCCCAGACCGCCAGCUAAGGUCCCAAAGUAUACGUUAAGUGGAAAAGGAUGUGGAGUUGCUUAGACAACCAGGAUGUUGGCUUAGAAGCAGCCACCAUUUAAAGAGUGCGUAAUAGCUCACUGGUCGAGUGACUCUGCGCCGAAAAUGUACCGGGGCUAAACGUAUCACCGAAGCUGCGGACUGUUCUUCGAACAGUGGUAGGAGAGCGUUCUAAGGGCUGUGAAGCAAGACCGGAAGGACUUGUGGAGCGCUUAGAAGUGAGAAUGCCGGUAUGAGUAGCGAAAGAGGGGUGAGAAUCCCCUCCACCGAAUGCCUAAGGUUUCCUGAGGAAGGCUCGUCCGCUCAGGGUUAGUCGGGACCUAAGCCGAGGCCGAAAGGCGUAGGCGAUGGAUAACAGGUUGAUAUUCCUGUACCACCUCCUCACCAUUUGAGCAAUGGGGGACGCAGGAGGAUAGGGUAAGCGCGGUAUUGGAUAUCCGCGUCCAAGCAGUUAGGCUGGGAAAUAGGCAAAUCCGUUUCCCGUGAAGGCUGAGCUGUGAUGGCGAGCGAAUUAUAGUAGCGAAGUUCCUGAUUCCACACUGCCAAGAAAAGCCUCUAGCGAGGUGAGAGGUGCCCGUACCGCAAACCGACACAGGUAGGCGAGGAGAGAAUCCUAAGGUGAUCGAGAGAACUCUCGUUAAGGAACUCGGCAAAAUGACCCCGUAACUUCGGGAGAAGGGGUGCUCUGUUAGGGUGCAAGCCCGAGAGAGCCGCAGUGAAUAGGCCCAGGCGACUGUUUAGCAAAAACACAGGUCUCUGCGAAGCCGUAAGGCGAAGUAUAGGGGCUGACGCCUGCCCGGUGCUGGAAGGUUAAGAGGAGCGCUUAGCGUAAGCGAAGGUGCGAAUUGAAGCCCCAGUAAACGGCGGCCGUAACUAUAACGGUCCUAAGGUAGCGAAAUUCCUUGUCGGGUAAGUUCCGACCCGCACGAAAGGCGCAACGAUCUGGGCACUGUCUCAACGAGAGACUCGGUGAAAUUAUAGUACCUGUGAAGAUGCAGGUUACCCGCGACAGGACGGAAAGACCCCGUGGAGCUUUACUGCAGCCUGAUAUUGAAUGUUGGUACAGCUUGUACAGGAUAGGUAGGAGCCUUGGAAACCGGAGCGCCAGCUUCGGUGGAGGCAUCGGUGGGAUACUACCCUGGCUGUAUUGACCUUCUAACCCGCCGCCCUUAUCGGGCGGGGAGACAGUGUCAGGUGGGCAGUUUGACUGGGGCGGUCGCCUCCUAAAAGGUAACGGAGGCGCCCAAAGGUUCCCUCAGAAUGGUUGGAAAUCAUUCGCAGAGUGUAAAGGCACAAGGGAGCUUGACUGCGAGACCUACAAGUCGAGCAGGGACGAAAGUCGGGCUUAGUGAUCCGGUGGUUCCGCAUGGAAGGGCCAUCGCUCAACGGAUAAAAGCUACCCCGGGGAUAACAGGCUUAUCUCCCCAAGAGUCCACAUCGACGGGGAGGUUUGGCACCUCGAUGUCGGCUCAUCGCAUCCUGGGGCUGUAGUCGGUCCCAAGGGUUGGGCUGUUCGCCCAUUAAAGCGGUACGCGAGCUGGGUUCAGAACGUCGUGAGACAGUUCGGUCCCUAUCCGUCGCGGGCGCAGGAAAUUUGAGAGGAGCUGUCCUUAGUACGAGAGGACCGGGAUGGACGCACCGCUGGUGUACCAGUUGUUCUGCCAAGGGCAUCGCUGGGUAGCUAUGUGCGGACGGGAUAAGUGCUGAAAGCAUCUAAGCAUGAAGCCCCCUCAAGAUGAGAUUUCCCAUUCCGCAAGGAAGUAAGAUCCCUGAAAGAUGAUCAGGUUGAUAGGUCUGAGGUGGAAGUGUGGCGACACAUGGAGCUGACAGAUACUAAUCGAUCGAGGACUUAACCAA